AGCUGUGCGGUGAACACAGAGCGAACUAUUCUUUCGCCUUUUACUAAAGAAUACCGUGUGUUCGCCGCCCAAAGCGGUAUACGCCUAUUUUUGGAGGGUCCUUCCUUUGGGUUGGGU